UACGGAGGGGGCAAGCGUUAUUCGGAAUUAUUGGGCGUAAAGGGCGCGUAGGCGGCUAGAUGUGUCAAAGGUGAAAUCCCUCGGCUCAACUGAGGAACUGCCUUUGAAACUGUCUGGCUUGAGGCCGGGAGAGGGUAGCGGAAUUCCCAGUGUAGCGGUGAAAUGCGUAGAUAUGCGGAGGAACACCGAUGGCGAAGGCAGUCCCCUGGGCCUGCACUGACGCUCAUGCACGAAAGCGUGGGGAGCAAACAGG
rnacentral:rRNA from 1 species